CCUACGGGGGGCAGCAGUGAGGAAUAUUGGUCAAUGGGCGGGAGCCUGAACCAGCCAAGUCGCGUGAGGGAAGACGGUCCUAGGGAUUGUAAACCUCUUUUGUCGGGGAGCAAAAGACGCCACGCGUGGCGUUCCGAGAGUACCCGAAGAAAAAGCAUCGGCUAAAUCCGGGCCAGCGGCCGCGGUAAUACGGAGGAAGCGGGCGUUAUCCGGAUUUAUUGGGUUUAAAGGGUGCGCAGGCGGGAGAUGAAGUCAGCGGUAAAAUUGAGGGGCUCAACCUCUUCGAGCCGUUGAAACUGGUGUUCUUGAGUGAGCGAGAAGUAUGCGGAAUGCGUGGUGUAGCGGUGAAAUGCAUAGAUAUCACGCAGAACUCCGAUUGCGAAGGCAGCAUACCGGCGCUCAACUGACGCUCAUGCACGAAAGUGUGGGUAUCGAACAGGAUUAGAUACCCCUGUAGUC
rnacentral:rRNA from 1 species